UCAGUUGCAGAAACUGAGGCCCCGAGAGUGCAGUGACUUCUCACACUGCAGGCAGAGAGGUGGCUCAGGCAGGAGACAGAGGAGAAGUCUGGACAGAGGAUCCAAGAUGGCUGAUGAGAAAUCCCCUGGGGAGGUGGGGCAGCCCUGGUGUUCACAGCUCCAGCUGGCUAUGGAGAGGGCAUCGCUGGAUAGAACUGAGAUGGUGCCAGGCUCCUGAGGCUCUGCUGCCCAACCUGGCCUGCUCUGGCUGUUAGUUUCGCCGGACUGGAUGCCACAUGGACACAGGCCUGCGCAGUGUGGCCAGCAUCUGGUUCCAAUGUGUGGUGCCCAUGCCACUGACCCCUGGCCCAAUGAUGACAUGGCCCACGUUGUCCCCACGGCCGUCGCUGCUGCUCUCAGCCACUGUCACCCGGAGAGACAGGUCCUG
ensembl:processed_transcript